rnacentral:rRNA from 1 species
UACGUAGGGUGCGAGCGUUAAUCGGAAUUACUGGGCGUAAAGCGUGCGCAGGCGGUUCGUUGUGUCGGUGGUGAAAGCCCCGGGCUUAACCUGGGAAUGGCCAUGGAAACUGGCGAACUGGAGUGUGGCAGAGGGGGGUGGAAUUCCGCGUGUAGCAGUGAAAUGCGUAGAGAUGCGGAGGAACACCGAUGGCGAAGGCGGUUAGCUGGGCAGUUGCUGACACUGAGGCGCGACAGCGUGGGGAGCAAACAGG